rnacentral:rRNA from 1 species
GAUGAACGCUGGCGGCGUGCCUAAUACAUGCAAGUCGAGCGAACAGAUGAGGCGCUUGCUCCUCUGACGUUAGCGGCGGACGGGUGAGUAACACGUGGAUAACCUACCUAUAAGACUGGGAUAACUUCGGGAAACCGGAGCUAAUACCGGAUAAUAUAUUGAACCGCAUGGUUCAAUAGUGAAAGACGGUUUUGCUGUCACUUAUAGAUGGAUCCGCGCCGCAUUAGCUAGUUGGUAGGGUAACGGCUUACCAAGGCAGCGAUGCGUAGCCGACCUGAGAGGGUGGACGGACACAUUGGGACUGAGAGACGGACCAGAGUCGUAGGGGAGGCAGCAGUGGGGAAUAUUGCACAAUGGGCGGAAGCCUGAUGAAGCAACGACGCGUGCGGGAUGACGGCCUUGGGGUUGUAAACCGCUUUCGCCUGUGACGAAGCGUGAGUGACGGUAAUGGGUAAAGAAGCACCGGCUAACUACGUG